rnacentral:rRNA from 1 species
AUUGAACGCUGGCGGCAGGCUUAACACAUGCAAGUCGAGCGGUAACAGGAGAAGCUUGCUUCUCGCUGACGAGCGGCGGACGGGUGAGUAAUACUUAGGAAUCUACCUAGUAGUGGGGGAUAGCUCGGGGAAACUCGAAUUAAUACCGCAUACGACCUACGGGAGAAAGGGGGCAACUUGUUGCUCUCGCUAUUAGAUGAGCCUAAGUCGGAUUAGCUAGAUGGUGGGGUAAAGGCCUACCAUGGCGACGAUCUGUAGCUGGUCUGAGAGGAUGAUCAGCCACACCGGGACUGAGACACGGCCCGGACUCCUACGGGAGGCAGCAGUGGGGAAUAUUGGACAAUGGGGGCAACCCUGAUCCAGCCAUGCCGCGUGUGUGAAGAAGGCCUUUUGGUUGUAAAGCACUUUAAGCAGUGAAGAAGACUCCGUGGUUAAUACCCACGGACGAUGACAUUAGCUGCAGAAUAAGCACCGGCUAACUCUGUGCCAGCAGCCGCGGUAAUACAGAGGGUGCAAGCGUUAAUCGGAAUUACUGGGCGUAAAGCGAGCGUAGGUGGCUUGAUAAGUCAGAUGUGAAAUCCCCGGGCUUAACCUGGGAACUGCAUCUGAUACUGUUAGGCUAGAAUAGGUGAGAGGAAGGUAGAAUUCCAGGUGUAGCGGUGAAAUGCGUAGAGAUCUGGAGGAAUACCGAUGGCGAAGGCAGCCUUCUGGCAUCAUAUUGACACUGAGGUUCG